ACACGACUACAUUAGAUACCCGCGUAGUCCCAGCCGUAAACAAUGUGCGUUAGGUGUGUCGGUAACCACGCGUUACUGAUGCGCCGAAGAGAAAUCGUGAAACGCACCACCUGGGAAGUACGGUCGCAAGGCUGAAACUUAAGGGAAUUGGCGGGGGAGCACCACAACAGGUGGAGCCUGCGGUUUAAUUGGAUUCAACGCCGGACAUCUCACCGGAUAAGACAGCUGAAUGAUUGUCAAUCUGAAGGUUUUACAUGACUAGCUG
rnacentral:rRNA from 1 species